rnacentral:rRNA from 1 species
UGCGGAAGGAUCAUUAAAGAGAUAGGGUCUUCAUGGCCCGACCUCCAACCCUCUGUUGUUAAAACUACCUUGUUGCUUUGGCGGGACCGUCUCGGUCUCCGAGCGCACUAACCCUCGGGUUGGUGAGCGCCCGCCAGAGUCCAACCAAACUCUUGUAUUAAACCAGUCGUCUGAGUAUAAAAUUUUAAUUAAAUUAAAACUUUCAACAACGGAUCUCUUGGUUCUCGCAUCGAUGAAGAACGCAGCGAAAUGCGAUAAGUAAUGUGAAUUGCAGAAUUCAGUGAAUCAUCGAAUCUUUGAACGCACAUUGCGCCCCUUGGUAUUCCGAGGGGCAUGCCUGUUCGAGCGUCAUUACACCACUCAAGCAUCGCUUGGUAUUGGGAACGGUCCGUCGCAAGGCGGGCCUUCCUCGAAGACCUCGGCGGGGUUCAACCAACUUCGGGCGUAGUAGAGUUAAAUCGAACGUCUUAUAAGCUUGGUCGGAUCUCAUUGCCGUUAAACCUUUAAAUUUUCUAGGUUGACCUCGGAUCAGGUAGGGAUACCCGCUGAACUUAAGCAUAUCAAU